rnacentral:lncRNA from 1 species
CAAACCUAGGCCUCCCACAGUGCAGGCAGAUCUUUACCGUCCGAGUAACCAGGGAAGCCCAAUACUCUCCCUGGAGAGGUCAAUUCUGCUCAUCUUUGCGAGGGCUGCCCCGGAAGAGACCGCGAUGUACAUGUGUGCAGGGCGCCAGUUCUCCACAGGCAGUGAUCAAUAGAGGAAGAAGAAAAGCAGGCUCGCUAGGCAUUUCUCCCUGAGCAGCUCACUCUGCCUGGCCAGCCCUCCAAAACCACAACCAGCUGUGCUGUCCUUGUUUCUGACACAGGCCACCGGAUUGCCAGGGCACUGCCCUCUGUGCUCUCCUGGGCGACAGCCCUGCUGGCCCCAUGGCUGGUCUCUAGCAGAUCCUGAAGGCUACCGUGCAGUCAGUAGCUCUGUGGGCACAUGUACCUUUGGGCUGACUCUGCCUGUCUUCCCCUUCAUCUCUCUCCCCCAAACGUAUUAAUGCUCACAUAGUAAAGCUGAGACAGAUAUCGCCAGUCUACAGUGUGGGGUGGGGUGGGCUGUUGACUACGGAAUCAGGCUUCUGAGUUUACCUUCCCACACCUGGGGGAGGAGGGAUCCCUUUCAGUGGGUAAGAAAGUCCCCCAAACUUCAUGUGCAGACAUGUGGCCCACGAGCCCUCCCAGCCCCAUCUCUGUAUCAGUGAAGGCUUCUUCUCUCUGCACUGCCCCAGGCUGCACUGUCUGCUGGUCACUCCCUUCAAGGCUAUGCUGUGCAUUCACAGUGAAUUGGGAUUCCCGGGUAGAAACUUGAGGACAGGGGAUCCAGCCCCUUUUCUCUCUCCAAACUCUCCAUCCUCCCGCCAGGUGGAUGAUUCUAUGUCUGAACAGCCCCUCAUGUGAUGGGAGAGAAAAGGAACGGGAAGAGAUGGAAAUGAACAGAGAAGAGGUCUGCUGAGCUGGAAACCUGUAGACUUUUCUAAGUGACAAAGGGUGAGUGUGGCUUUAUGAAAGAGGAAACUUGGUACAUUAAUGCCAGCCUUGGGAAAAGCAACAGCCCCAGAUAAGAAGUGUGUAUGGGGCUUGGAAGCCGGGCAGCUCUGAUUUCUAGCUCGAGGGCCUUCCAGUUGUGUCUCUAAGCCUCGGUUUCCUUCUUCACCUGUAGAGUGGACUUAAUAAUUUUGACAGUUGAUGUGGGAACGAAAGAAGCCCACACAGGAUAAGCAAUAUACAGAGAUUAAUGCAAGGUACCUGUCAUCAUGCUUACGAAGUUCAUGAUGCUUUGAA